rnacentral:rRNA from 1 species
UACAGAGGGUGCAAGCGUUAAUCGGAAUUACUGGGCGUAAAGCGCGCGUAGGUGGUUUGUUAAGUUGGAUGUGAAAGCCCUGGGCUCAACCUGGGAAUGGCAUUGGAAACUGGCGACCUAGAGUGCGGUAGAGGGUAGUGGAAUUCCCGGUGUAGCAGUGAAAUGCGUAGAGAUCGGGAGGAACACCGGUGGCGAAGGCGGCAUCCUGGACCGGCAUUGACGCUGAAUAGCGAAAGCCAGGGGAGCAAACGGG